rnacentral:rRNA from 1 species
UACGUAGGUGUCGAGCGUUGUCCGGAUUUAUUGGGCGUAAAGGGCCCGCAGGCGGUUUGGCAAGUUCGAGGUGAAAUCUCCCGGCUCAACUGGGAGGGUGCCUCGGAAACUGCCAGGCUUGAGGCAGGGAGAGGGAUGUGGAAUUCCCGGUGUAGUGGUGAAAUGCGUAGAUAUCGGGAGGAACACCAGUGGCGAAGGCGGGUCUCUGGGCCGAUACUGACGCUGAGGAGCGAAAGCAUGGGUAGCGAACAGG